rnacentral:misc_RNA from 1 species
CGCAGGCGUGUAAAGAUGGCGUCUGACUACGAUGAGCCGAUAUCCGACCAAGAAAAGGUUCGCAUAGUGUCUGACUUCAUCCAGUUAGCACCUCCCGGGGAAUUCAACGAGGUGUUCAAUGACGUCCGCCUGCUGCUGAACAAUGACACCCUGCUCAAAGAAAAAGCGUCCAGUGCAUUUGCACAGUACAAUAAGGAUCAGCUGACGCCAGUAGAAAUUGAAGGCUCCGAACACAAGGCGCUCGUCACCCAUUACAAUGACCUUGGCGAGGGCCGCUUCUACGACCCGCGCACGCGGCAGUCCUUCCGGUACGACCACCUCCGCAAGGAGGCCACCGACUACCAGAGCCAUCCGCCAGGCUCCAGCGGGGAUGGCAGUGCCGGACUGCCCGAGGGCCACGGCGAGAGCUGGCGGGCUGCGCUGGAGGAGGUGUGGACGCAGUACGCGCGCGAACACUACCGGCAUGGCACGUGCGCUGUCUUCGACCGCAGCCCCAGUCCCCAGGAGUUGUCGCUAGUCGCCUGCCUUGAAGACCACCAAUUCCAGGCACAGAACUUCUGGAAUGGUCGUUGGAGAAGCGUCUGGACAGUAAACUUUCCUUCCGGUGCUGCCACAGCCGAUGUGAAAGGACUCGUCAGAGUUCAGGUGCACUACUACGAGGAUGGCAACGUCCAACUAGUAAGCUCCAAGGAGAUCAAAGCCACCCUCAACAUCACGAAUGAGCAGCAAGCUGCAAAGGAAUUCGUGCAGAUUGUUGAAGAUGCAGAAAACGAGUAUCAGACUGCCAUCUCCGAAAACUACCAGGCAAUGUCGGACACGACAUUCAAGGCGCUACGCCGACAACUGCCGCUGACGCGAACCAAAAUUGACUGGACCAAGAUCCUCAACUACAAAAUUGCCUCGGAGCUGAAACACCACUGACUGUCUCCUCCUCUCUGUGCCGCCCGUGCUUGCAGAUUUGUUUGUUUUUGAAAAGACUCCUCUUCUUGAGCCCGAAUUUUCUAUUCUUACAUGCUUCUGAUCUACUGUAUUCGAUAAUUUGUAUUGUUUUUGGUUGCCCGUUUAUUUUCUGUUGAGCCUUGUCGUAGUCUCAGUCUUGCUUGUCUCUUUGCCUCGUCGAAAUGGACUUCAUGCCGCACAUUUUGAUCGAACUCCUGUGUUUGGACUUGUGUGGCUGUUCUACUUCUCCGGGUGCAACUUGGUCCAAAAUGGUUUUUCAUUCAUGGAGCCAGCAGUUAAGCUAGUUAAACUGAGACAGUUAAAGGUAAAGGCAUCUUUUUCAUAACAAGGUACUGCUGGUGAUCAUGCUGUUGGAGAUAGUCAAGUAUCAUUAACUUGAGCGAGGUCUUAGAGACUAACACAGCCCACUUGGAGGCUCCUGUUGGUUGUUUGUCACUAUAGUUUUGUUCCCACGGUGGCUUUCUUGAAGUACAUUCUCAAAACUCUACAUGAAGUUGAUUGCUUUCCCUCUGUUAAUAUAGUUCUGUGACCAUUUGUCAUAUGACGAUUUUUGUAAGAGCUUGGUUUAAGCGGUGUUUGCCAACUUCCAUGUGCAUUCAUUUGAGAUUUUAAUGAGUGCAGGAAAAUCUCGGCUCACUGUUGUUGUUUUUCCUUUUUUGCCCCCCCCCCCCCCCUCACACACAAGUUAGGCAUUCAUUUCAGACUCGGCAUUGAGACAUCUGUAUUGCGGCCGCAACCGUGCAGUGCAGUCCUGAGUAGAGCUAUGUUAGCACUAGCCUUCUGUGGUUUCAAUUCUGUGCCUGUUGCUGGCAUGCUAGUAUUGUUGUUUUGAAGAACCCGCAUUAGUGCUGCGUUUACUUUGUGCUUUCCUUUAUAGUGAAAAACGUGUUGGACCAGUAACUGUUGUAUAGAGCCAGAUUGAUGCCGAAGGAGGCAGUGACCGGGGAAGUUUGGAACCUGCAAGACUUUUUAAAGUGCCCUGCGUUAUGCAAACCCCUGCAUCUUGCCUGCGCCGUAGACAUCGUGCUGCCGAACUUUUCUUUCAAACUUAUGUACAACUGCACGUUGUUAGAAUCCAGUAUGGAGGAGAUAAAAAGCAAGUAGUAGUGCCUAAGUGGUGAAAGUAUGAUGUCAAGUCUGUGAAGCCAAGCUAGGAUGUGUUUCAUCUCAACCCUUUUCACUUGCACCUGUUCUUUCGUGCAAAUCUGCACUGUUGUCAACUGCUGACACCAGGUGCCUCGGGCAUGUAGACUAUUGAGUAAAAGAGCAUUUUGUUUUAUCAUAUCGUUUUGCUUGGGGCAUCUUUUGCACACGCCUAACAGUGCUUUUCGCUUAGCUCGAUCAACGGGCUUAUUACAGGCAGUAAACAAACAUCUUAACGUUUGAGUAGACCAUUGUAGACCUUUAUGAAAGAAGAGUUCCUAGAAUUUCUUCUUCCGAAAAAAAAAUUGUGAGGUUCUUUUUGAUGAAGUUUAACCUGAAUUUGAGAUGAGUCCAAUGUUGCAGCUUGAGUGCUGAUCGCGACCACAGCUGCAUUUUUGCAAAGCUGUCUGAAACUGCCAAUAGAUUGGAUUGCAAGCAUCAUGCAUUUCCUGUGCAACCUAUGAAGCUGUUUAAAGGCUAAAACUUAUUAAAAGUUUGUAUGAGCAAGCUCAGAAGAGGGUGCCGUUUAUUUAUCUGCCGUAUUUGCUUCACCUGUUCUGUGUCUGUUUCGUGGCAUAGCUAGGCGUGUGUCAGGGCAAGCCCCUGGAAUUAAUGAUCCUUAUGUUUCUUUGGUGGUUGGUGAAGCGGUGAGCCAGCGAGAGAGAGAGCAAGACUGUUUUGUGAAUCAAAGGGCAGGGAAUGUGUGUGUGUGUGUGUUACCAUUUUCUGGCACAUUCGCCUCUCUUCACGAAGACAAAGUUCAUGGCACAGAGAGAGUCAACCUUGUGACACGAGUCUAGACAAUAGGCAUAAAUUAACUUGUUCUUUUUUUUUUUCCUGCCACACGUGUGCGAUAUUUCUCGAGCUGUGGUUGUAACUUUUUUCCCUAGAUGAACAAUGCUGUUGUUCUACCCUCCCGUGGCUGGGUUGGCGAAGUUUGCACUUGCGCCGGGCCUGUGAGAUGGGUUUUUUUCUUGUUGACCCUUUGGGGGAUAAGAAAUGUUGAAUAAAAGAGGGUUGCGAGAA